rnacentral:lncRNA from 1 species
CUGGACAGUGCCUAUGUCACCUUCCGGACCUACUUCUGGAGCUCGUGUUGGGCCAUGAGGACUGCGGCCAUCAAAUUAACCGGUGUGAUCCUGGAAAACGCAGAUGCCCGGUGGCUGGGAGAGCAGGAUAUGAGUGCUCUAAGUACAGCUCUCCAGYUGAUGCAGGAAGACCAGCAUCCCAGYGUGCAGCAGGCAGCAGCUCAGGUCCUGGGAGA